GGGGGCUCCACUGACAGCGACCCCCUGACCCAGCUAGCAAGAGGAAAUUAACAGAUGUUUUUAUGUCUUAACCUAUUUACUAAUUACUUUGUAAUUGUUUGAUUAUGAAAAAAAUCUAAAAUGUUAUAAAAAUUGCCCACAGUCUGGUCAGCCACCAGUUUCAGAACAUCACCUGAUGAAGAACUGAAAUUAUUGAAGUUAUUGAGUUCAGUCAGUAAUGUCAUGAAGAGGAUGAAGUGAAUUUGGAGGCCUCUUGAUUUAAAAGGGUUUCUCAAGUCUCAGAUGUUGGAGCUUCCUAUGAGUACUUGAACACACCAGCCUGGCUUUUAGUUGUAUUACAACACAACAAAGAUUGGACUUUGACCACAAAAAGAGACUACUUUUCAUUCUGUACUGACAUGGACUGGAAAGAAAUGGCUGCCUGCUCCCCAGGAGGCCCACGUGCUCCAGGAUCCCCCUGACAAACAAACAAGAACAGAAAUGUUAAAUCAAAGAACAACAACGUCAGCACCAGCUCUGCGGACAGAUUGCCCAGCGUGCCUGGAUCUCCAGGAGGUCCAACAGGUCCCUGCAAAGAUGACACAAAAUCCUUUAAAAAAUAAAAACAACCUCCAACACAUAAUGAUGAAAACAGAUUCUUAAAAUACAGCACACAACAAUGUGAACGCUACACAGACUUUUUACCUCUAGGGAAUACUGAUAAAAUAUGUUACAGUUGUUGCAGAAUUAAGAAAGUUUCAAGUUAAUAAUUCUGAUAGUUAUUCUAUACAUGGGAGAAACCAAUGUUAACAAACAUUCAAGUCCAAAUACUGAUACUGUUCACCACUUUUCUCUAUUUAUGUGCAAAUAAGUGGCAAUGGGGAGACUCUUACAUUAAGUUCUGUGUCUUUAUAACUUAAUGUUUACUCUUUUAGAGAGAAAUUAGGGAUCGCUGCCUCCUGAGGAGCACUUAAGUUGAAUUACAUAACUCAUUCUGCCUGCAGUACAGCAUUUACUAAUAACCAAACACAGGGUUAAAACAACGGAACAACCUGCAACCAAACAUCAGGGACAGAGUGUGAAUUAUGAGGUCACCAUUAAACUAGACCCAAACUGGCAUGUUGGACUGAGUCUUAACUUUGGGCACUAAUAAUAAUAAGUUUUGGCCUUUGUUUCUGUUGGUUAUGAUAAUUGUACUCAGCAAAGUCAUUUCUGGGAACACCGCAAUAAACAACAAGCUACAACAGAGCCGGAUGGGGCAAGAAACACAAAGACAAUCAGACAGGUUGUACACAAGCCAACAGUUUAGCCAGAUUAUCUAAACUACUUCUGUUAGAUUUCCUCUAGCCAACAUGAACGUGAAGUAUCGGGUUUGGAUCAUGUUCAGCCCGCUUUUUAGCAUGAAGCUUCGGGCUCUGGUCGGGUUUGUGUUUGGCUGUGUCAUUUUAUUCUCUUUCUCUCUCUGAUUGAACCAAUCGUACGGAGCCCGGGAAGAUCCAUAGAUAGAAGAAAUAGUUAUAUUGAGGCCACGAAAUGCUAUUGUGUGCGCACGAGAUACAAUUCAUUCGCACGUACUAAUUACUUCGUUCGCACGUUUUAAUUAACUCGUGGCUACGAGAUAAGUGUAUAUAAAAAGAGCCAGCACACUGGACCAGCUUUUCUCCCCAAAGCAGAGUGCACAGCGCCUGCUCCAGCCGCCGCCUGCUUAAGGCACUCCUUGGUGAUAGCUAUGGAUAGAGGCUUUAUUUUAACUUAGGGAUGAGUCAUCAAGACAUAUCGAACACACUUGCUUUGCAAGGGAUUAUUGGGAUUAAAGCACUGUGCAAUUGGACUAUUAACCCCUGAACGUGACACAUACCCACUUGUCUCUUUCCAAGAUGAGUUCCAUUUAGAUGAUUAAUGACCAAUUAAUGUAUUAUGUACUUAAUUAAUGCAGUUACUCUAACUAAUUAAUGCCUAAUGUUGCCUUGCUAGAUAAUAAUCCACUUAAUUUACCGAUGCUUGAAGCAGGAAUGAAGUAGUAUCACAACAUAUUUGUGAACAAAUUGUAUCUCGUGCGCCCCAAUAGCAUUCCAUGGCCUCAAUAUAACGAUUUUUUCUAUCUAUGG